ACGAACGCUGGCGGCGUGCUUAACACAUGCAAGUCGAACGGAAAGGCCCUGCUUUUGUGGGGUGCUCGAGUGGCGAACGGGUGAGUAACACGUGAGUAACCUGCCCUUGACUUUGGGAUAACUUCAGGAAACUGGGGCUAAUACCGGAUAGGAGCUCCUGCUGCAUGGUGGGGGUUGGAAAGUUACGGCGGUUGGGGAUGGACUCGCGGCUUAUCAACUUGUUGGUGGGGUAGUGGCUUACCAAGGCUUUGACGGGUAGCCGGCCUGAGAGGGUGACCGGCCACAUUGGGACUGAGAUACGGCCCAGACUCCUACGGGAGGCAGCAGUGGGGAAUAUUGCACAAUGGGCGGAAGCCUGAUGCAGCAACGCCGCGUGCGGGAUGACGGCCUUCGGGCUGUAAACCGCUUUCGCCUGUGACGAAGCGUGAGUGACGGUAAUGGGUAAAGAAGCACCGGCUAACUACGUG
rnacentral:rRNA from 1 species